rnacentral:rRNA from 1 species
AUGCAUUAUCGUGCUCCUGACCCGGUCGAAGAGAAACCUCAGCCAAAAGAUGGUGAAGUUAUUGUCUUUACUGAUCAUAUGAACUGGGGCUUCUUGCCGCCCGGCUCAAAAUUCUUUAGGGAUGUCCUGCACUUCUUUAAACUCCAUCCGCAAGAUAUUGGACCCAAUUCCAUAUCAAAUAUAUGUAACUUCCAAGUUUUUUGUGAGGUAUACCUUCAAGAAGAACCUAGCGUCGAGCUUUUUAGGGAAUACUUCUACCUGAACCGCCAGAACGAGUACAUCAAUGGUCCCAGCUUGGAACUUGGCGGGAUUUCAAUUCAACGCAGACGAGAUGCCAUCUUCCCUCAAGUAGUCCUGCCAAGCCAUCCCAAGGACUGGAAUCAAACAUGGUUCUAUUGCAAAGAUAUCUCACUGUUUGAUGAAAAAUCUGAUGUCGAGUUAUCGUGCUGA